rnacentral:rRNA from 1 species
UACGUAGGGGGCAAGCGUUGUCCGGAAUCAUUGGGCGUAAAGAGCGUGUAGGCGGCCCGGUAAGUCCGCUGUGAAAGUCGGGGGCUCAACCCUCGAAUGCCGGCGGAUACUGUCGGGCUAGAGUCCGGAAGAGGCGAGUGGAAUUCCUGGUGUAGCGGUGAAAUGCGCAGAUAUCAGGAGGAACACCAACGGCGAAGGCAGCCCGCUGGGACGGUACUGACGCUGAGACGCGAAAGCGUGGGGAGCAAACAGG